rnacentral:rRNA from 1 species
UACGAGGGGGGCGAGCGUUAUUCGGAAUUACUGGGCGUAAAGCGCACGUAGGCGGAUUGGAAAGUCAGAGGUGAAAAUCCCAGAGCUCAACUUUGGAACUGCCUUUGAAACUCCCAGUCUUGAGGUCGAGAGAGGUGAGUGGAAUUCCGAGUGUAGAGGUGAAAUUCGUAGAUAUUCGCAAGAACACCAGUGGCGAAGGCGGCUCACUGGCCCGAUACUGACGCUGAGGCACGAAAGCGUGGGGAGCAAACAGG